CGUAGCCUCGGUCGUCGCUAGCUGUAUCGGCCCACGGCGGAACCAGCAGAAAUCCUUUCCUCCCGUACCGCACAAGCUGCCGCUCCCGCUGGCCAGCGGACGCGCAGGAUUCGCAACUUACAAACCGUCGCAGUCACGCGCGAAGCGCCCGGGGAUAUGGAUUCGCGCGGCCGUCAGCGAUUGGCGAGUAUGUAGCCAAUACUCCAAUCCAAACCAAAUGGGUCGGGGUGCCGACCGACGACGACGCGUGCGCGGUGCC
rnacentral:lncRNA from 1 species